UGGGGAAUAUUGGACAAUGGGCGAAAGCCUGAUCCAGCCAUGCCGCGUGUGUGAAGAAGGUCUUCGGAUUGUAAAGCACUUUAAGUUGGGAGGAAGGGCAUUAACCUAAUACGUUAGUGUUUUGACGUUACCGACAGAAUAAGCACCGGCUAACUCUGUGCCAGCAGCCGCGGUAAUACAGAGAGUGCAAGCGUUAAUCGGAAUUACUGGGCGUAAAGCGCGCGUAGGUGGUUUGUUAAGUUGGAUGUGAAAUCCCCGGGCUCAACCUGGGAACUGCAUUCAAAACUGACUGACUAGAGUAUGGUAGAGGGUGGUGGAAUUUCCUGUGUAGCGGUGAAAUGCGUAGAUAUAGGAAGGAACACCAGUGGCGAAGGCGACCACCUGGACUAAUACUGACACUGAGGUGCGAAAGCGUGGGGAGCAAACA
rnacentral:rRNA from 1 species